rnacentral:rRNA from 1 species
UACGGAGGGGGCAAGCGUUAUUCGGAAUUAUUGGGCGUAAAGGGCGCGUAGGCGGCUAGAUGUGUCAAAGGUGAAAUCCCUCGGCUCAACUGAGGAACUGCCUUUGAAACUGUCUGGCUUGAGGCCGGGAGAGGGUAGCGGAAUUCCCAGUGUGGCGGUGAAAUGCGUAGAUAUUGGGAGGAACACCAGUGGCGAAGGCGGCUACCUGGACCGGUUCUGACGCUGAGGCGCGAAAGCGUGGGUAGCAAACAGG